AUUUCUGUGAUGACCUUUAUACCGCCCCAGUCCGACCUAAACCGUGGCGGAUUGGUUCUUGUGUCUGAGAAAUA
rfam:Strongylocentrotus purpuratus Contig106710_fixed, whole genome shotgun sequence.